rnacentral:lncRNA from 1 species
UCCUUGUGUGUCUUUUGAUUUUUUUUCAGAGAUCCCUCUGUACUUUGUGGACUUGCAGGAUGACUUAGAGGACUGUCAGAAAACCCAGCCAGGAAGCGCUACUGGCCCUUCUGGAGCAAGGUCUCAUUUCCCAGUGUGACAUUGAAGGCUAAGUAUGUCCUGCUCUGCUGGAGCGGUCUGCUCCCAGCCGUGAUGAUGAAUGCAGGAAGGAGGCCAUGAGCGUAAUCUGCAGAAUGGCGGCCAUGCUGACCAUGCACAGUUGAACGCCUGCUGCUGCCUUGAACUGUGUGGUGCCUGGAAACUCUUCCAAGUUUGGAAGAUACCAACAUUUUUUGAGCUCUGCUCAGAUAACAUGAAGAAAGCAUGUUCAGAGUGCUUCACAGCUGUGUCCCACACUUCCCCCUGUGGUCUGCAGAACCCAGCUCUCAACUGUGUUCAUCAAACUCCUCAGUGAUCCCCAUCGAUAGGUGAGUGCUCACACCCCUGGCAGCUGCACUGGCCUCUCAGGAUCAAGUGCUCCAGCUCGCCAGUGUCCAUCUUGGUUUCUGGCUUCUUUUCUGCCUUCCCUUUCCAGCAUCUGUGUGCAUAGUAAGAUCUAGACACUGUGAGAUCAGAACCAGGGUAACUGAAGUCUCAGAAGCUUUGGGGCAGAUACUAAGAAAGAGGAAAGUGCACAGCAUAGAAGCCAGGAUUGAGAAACAGGUCUCUAAGUGCCUGCCUACUAUCCCGGUCCUGCCAUAGGCAUGCUGAGUACUGUCUGUAAGGUCUCCUGGGUACUUUACGAAGACUAGUGUCACAUGGAAUUCACAUUCUAGAAACAUGGAGACUCGAGUGGAGGGCUAUGUGCCUCUUCUCUGUUGAUAACGGUCCAUUUGGCUUUGGGGCAUGGCUGGGAAGUAACAAACCUGAGUAGAUGCCUUGGGUGGGUGGGGUCACGCCUGCUCACUAAUGCAGGUCAACAGUGUGUGCCCUUGCCCAGGUGUGCCAGGCCGCCUUCCAGUCAUUCUGCCCAAGCCAGGCUGCUCUGUACACUCUGGAGGAUGGCACCCCGAGCAUCAGGCCACUGAGCCAAGAAGUGGAGUCUAACUUUGCCUCUGGCUUACCCAGGCCCAGCAGCUGUAGUGCCGCCUUAGCCGAGUGAGCUCUAGCCAGGAUGCUUGGCACCGCCAGCCCCCGUCACCUCAAGCAUCCACCUAGAAUCCAGCAACGAUCUCAUCUCCAGCUUUAGUAAUAGUGACCUUCUGGGCAAGAUGGAAGAUUAGAGCUUUAAUUAUGUAAAGAAGCAAAAAGUAAUUGCAAUAACGAUUUGGAAACAUGACUGCCGGGUUAUAAAUAAU